rnacentral:rRNA from 1 species
CCUACGGGUGGCAGCAGUCGAGAAUCAUUCACAAUGGGGGAAACCCUGAUGGUGCGACGCCGCGUGGGGGAAUGAAGGUCUUCGGAUUGUAAACCCCUGUCAUGUGGGAGCAAAUUAAAAAGAUAGUACCACAAGAGGAAGAGACGGCUAACUCUGUGCCAGCAGCCGCGGUAAUACAGAGGUCUCAAGCGUUGUUCGGAAUCACUGGGCGUAAAGCGUGCGUAGGCUGUUUCGUAAGUCGUGUGUGAAAGGCGCGGGCUCAACCCGCGGACGGCACAUGAUACUGCGUGACUAGAGGAAUGGAGGGGGAACCGGAAUUCUCGGUGUAGCAGUGAAAUGCGUAGAUAGCGAGAGGAACACUCGUGGCGAAGGCGGGUUCCUGGACAUUAACUGACGCUGAGGCACGAAGGCCAGGGGAGCGAAAGGGAUUAGAUACCCUAGUAGUC